rnacentral:rRNA from 1 species
GGGCGCAAGCCUGAAGCAGCAACGCCGCGUGUGCGAUGAAGGCCUUCGGGUUGUAAAGCACUUUAGCAGGGAAGAGAAAGGACGGUACCUGCUGAAUAAGCCUCGGCUAACUACGUGCCAGCAGCCGCGGUAAAACGUAGGAGGCGAGCGUUAUCCGGAUUUACUGGGUGUAAAGCGCGUGCAGGCGGUUGGCUAAGUUGGGUGUGAAAGCUCCUGGCUCAACUGGGAGAGGUCGCUCAAGACUGGCCGACUGGAGAGCAGUAAGGGAAGGUGGAAUUCCGGGUGUAGUGGUGAAAUGCGUAGAUAUCCGGAGGAACACCAGUGGCGAAGGCGGCCUUCUGGACUGCUUCUGACGCUCAGACGCGAAAGCUAGGGUAGCAAACGGGAUUAGAGACCCCGGUAGUCCUAGCCGUAAACGAUGUGAACUUGGCGCUGGGUGGGUAAAACUAUUCAGUGCCGCAGCUAACGCGAUAAGUUCACCACCUGAGGACUACGGCCGCAAGGUUA